CAGGAGUGUUCUAAUUUUUUUUUUUUUUUUGAGGGGGGCACGAGGGCUACUGUUUCAAAACUGCCAUUUACUUGUCUUAUUUGACUUCCAAAAUACUAUUACAUUAAUGUGCAAAUAAUCAGAACAUACACACUACAGUAUGUAUAAAGUAUAGAGGAAUUUACAUUUAAUUGCUAUAACAGAUCUAGAAGUAAGAUUCCUCUCUUUAGAAAGUAAACAAUGAAUCUGUCACCAAGUUCUAACUUUAAAAUGGGGACAUUUUACCUUUCUUUCUUUGGAUAGGAUCAGUUCUUAAGAGCAGCCCCGGUAACUGGAGGAAUGGGAGCCGUUUUGAUGAGAAAAAUGGGCUGGAGAGAAGGAGAAGGAUUAGGAAAAAACAAAGAAGGCAAUAAGGAACCCAUCCUAGUUGAUUUUAAGACAGACCGAAAAGGUCUUGUUGCAGUAGGAGAAAGAGCACAAAAGAGGUCUGGGAACUUCUCUGCUGCAAUGAAAGAUCUGUCAGGCAAACAUCCUGUGUCUGCUUUGAUGGAAAUCUGUAAUAAGAGAAGGUGGCAACCACCUGAAUUUCUAUUGGUCCAUGAUAGUGGCCCUGAUCAUCGCAAACAUUUUCUCUUUAGGGUAUUGAGAAAUGGAAGCCCUUACCAGCCCAAUUGUAUGUUUUUCUUGAAUAGGUAUUGAUAAAUGGAAGCGCUUACCAGCCCAGCUUUGCCAGCCCUAAUAAGAAGCAUGCUAAAGCCACAGCAGCUACUGUGGUUCUUCAAGCAAUGGGC
rnacentral:sRNA from 1 species